UACGUAAGGCGCAAGCGUGUCCGGAAUUAUUGGGCGUAAAGAGCUCGUAGGCGGUUUGUCACGUCGGCUGUGAAAACUCGGGGCUCAACCCCGAGCCUGCAGUCGAUACGGGCAGACUAGAGUGCGGUAGGGGAGACUGGAAUUCCUGGUGUAGCGGUGAAAUGCGUAGAUAUCUGGAAGGAACACCGGUGGCGAAGGCGGCAUCCUGGACCGGUAUUGACGCUGAGGCGCGAAAGCCAGGGGAGCAACGGG
rnacentral:rRNA from 1 species